rnacentral:lncRNA from 1 species
CACCCAUAUGAUCCCAUAGACUUCUUUUAAAAAUUUCAAUCUGGAAAACGAAUGGCUGGCUUAUAGUUCUAUUGUAUUAUCAAUUAUCAUUUUAAAGAUCAACUUCUUCCAUAAUGAUAUCCAUACUACCUCGUAUCGUCGUAAUAUCAGCAAAUUUCAUUUUUUAACUAACUGAGGCAAAAUUUGCAAGUUGAUAAAACCUAGUGGCGAAUUUUCCAUCUCCAAGGAAAAACACUAUGAUGUCCUAUCAGAAAAAUUCUAAAUUCUCCUUUUGGUGCUUCGAAUCUCACAUAAAGUUCUUGUUUGGACAACUCAAAAGUUGGAGAAGGUUUUUUUACUAAUAAAUUGAUAUUCAAAAUCAUUCCAUUCAAUAUCUCUUACUCUAUCAAAGCGUCGAAUUCGGCCAUAGAAUUCCUUUCGGACCCUGUUGGAUAAUUUUUAUGGAUUCUGCCAUUUCACUGAAUCGUACUAAAUAACGAGCUGAUGAAUUUCCUUCUUUUUGCCAUUGAACCUCCCAGUCAAAUUCAUUGUAACACUGAAGAUCUCAUUGUAUUUCGGAAGCUCGUAGCAUUGGUCAUGAUAAACCCCAAUUUAGUGCUUUUCUCAUCCAAUAAUGUCUAUGCCCUCAACUCGUUCUAAAAAGUAGGAUUUCGUGUAAUAAGCUUUUGAUAUUCCACAACCCCUAUUAAACAAUAAUUGCAAAAAUCCAAACAUUUAUCUAUCGAUCCAUAAGGUAGAAUAGUGGCUAUUCUUUCGAUACAAAAAUAAUUAUGCAUCAUUUGCAUACCGAUAGCAACUUUGAUUAGGUCAUAUAUCAAUUCUCGUUCUCAAAAAAUCUAGAAGAAAGGGGUCUGUGCCACAAUAUCUGCCAUAAAAGGACCAAGCCAUAA